UCAGAAUUGUAGUUUAAUUAAAAUAUUAGCAUUGGAAGCUAAAGAUUAGGUUGUUGAUCCUACAUUCUGAA
rnacentral:tRNA from 1 species